rnacentral:rRNA from 1 species
GACGAACGCUGGCGGCGUGCUUAACACAUGCAAGUCGAACGGAAAGGCCCUGCUUUUGUGGGGUGCUCGAGUGGCGAACGGGUGAGUAACACGUGAGUAACCUGCCCUUGACUUUGGGAUAACUUCAGGAAACUGGGGCUAAUACCGGAUAGGAGCUCCUGCUGCAUGGUGGGGGUUGGAAAGUUUCGGCGGUUGGGGAUGGACUCGCGGCUUAUCAGCUUGUUGGUGGGGUAGUGGCUUACCAAGGCUUUGACGGGUAGCCGGCCUGAGAGGGUGACCGGCCACAAUGGGACUGAGAUACGGCCCAGACUCCUACGGGAGGCAACAGGGGGGAAUAUUGCACAAUGGGCCGAAGCCUGAUGCAGCAACGCCGCGGGCGGGAUGACGGCCUUCGGGGUGUAAACCGCUUUCGCCUGUGACGAAGCGUGAGUGACGGUAAUGGGUAAAGAAGCACCGGCUAACUACGUG